rnacentral:lncRNA from 1 species
GCUUAGUUAGGAUGAGAAUGAUGUUACAGGUCAGGACAAAUGAUCUCAAAAAGAAGAAAAUUCAUUUACAAACUUGGGGUCCAUAUGUGGAGUCUGAAUCUGAUGUAUUACAUUGUUUAUUAGCGUGUCCUCCCUACCUGACAAGAACAAUGGAACAAAAAUAAAACAAAACAACAGUUAUGGAUAAGAAUUCAUUCUCAAAUUUUGUCCAUCAUACUAUGUUGUAGUUAGUGAUCCUUUCUUUUUCAGAUUGCUUUGCCAUGCUUUCUAUAGUAUUUUGCGUAAUUUCUUCACUUCCGUUAUUUCUUUUUUCGAUAUGUUUUUUCUUGAGCUGAGACCUAUCUACCUGCUAAGGUAGGGUAAGGUUUGCAUACACUCAACCCUCCCAAACCUAACUUGUGAGAUUAUACUAGGUAUGUCAUCGUUUUUUACAUAUAUCAUAUUUGUCAUUACUUUGGCAACUUAACUUUGUGAACUAAAAGCCUAAAACUUUGGGCUAUGUAGGUGUUCUGUAAAUGUAAGGUUUGAUUAAUGUACAUUUAAUGUAGCACCAAAGCCAUUCACUUUGCUUGAAUAAUAGUCACUGGAAUCAACAAAAGAUGGUACCUUGGCCCAGCGAGCCGAUACAGCAAAAUCCUGACUUGGCAUCAACUGCACCAAAAAGCCCCUAAUCUCAAUUGGCAUACACUGUCAACCUUACUCUAGCUGUAACUUCUGGAUGCAGCUUCAAUUCGGC